rnacentral:rRNA from 1 species
UUGGAGGGCAAGUCUGGUGCCAGCAGCCGCGGUAAUUCCAGCUCCAAUAGCGUAUAUUAAAGUUGUUGCAGUUAAAAAGCUCGUAGUUGAAUUUCGGGAUCAAGGAAUCGGUCAUGCCUUGGUAUGUACUGGUUUUAUUGGUUCUCACCUUCUAAAGAACCAUAAUGUCAUUUAUUUGAUGUUAUGGGGAAUUAGGACUGUUACCUUGAAAAAAUUAGAGUGUUUAAAGCAAGCUUACGCUUGAAUACAUUAGCAUGGAAUAAUGAAAUAGGACAUCAGAUUCUAUUUUGUUGGUUUCUAGGAUCGAUGUAAUGAUUAAUAGGGAUAGUUGGGGGCAUUAGUAUUCAAUUGUCAGAGGUGAAAUUCUUGGAUUUAUUGAAGACUAACUACUGCGAAAGCAUUUGCCAAGGAUGUUUUCAUUAAUCAAGAACGAAAGUUAGGGGAUCGAAGACGAUCAGAUACCGUCGUAGUCUUAACCAUAAACUAUGCCGACUAGGGAUCGGAUGAUGUUAAUUUUUUAAUGACUCAUUCGGCACCUUACGGGAAACCAAAGUGUUUGGGUUC